CCAGGAGGCUGGGCAGCUGCGUUUUCGCGAGAUUACGAGGAAAGUCCGGGCUCCACGAAACAAGGGUGGCGGGUAACGCCCGCCGAGGGAAACCUCAGGGAAAGUGCCACAGAGAGUAUACCGCCGAUGGCCCCUAAAGGGCACAGGCAAGGGUGAAAGGGUGCGGUAAAAGCGCACCGGGGCUCUGGUAACAGCGCCCGCAUGGCAAACCCCACCCGGAGCAAGGCCAAAUAGGGGGCUCGCGCUGUCAAAAGCAGGGGCGUUUCGCCCUGAGAGGCCCGGGUUGGCUGCUUGAGCUGCGGAGCAAUCCGUAGCCUAGAUGAAUGGCUGCCGCUGCAAGGCUGGUGUGCGAACAUACCGCUUGCAGGACAGAACCCGGCUUACAGGCCUUCUGGCACA
rnacentral:RNase_P_RNA from 1 species